CCUGGUUGAUCCUGUAAAUAGUCAUAUGCUUCUCUCAAAGAUUAAGCCAUGCAUGUGUAAGUAUGAACUAAUUCAGCCUGUGACACUACGAAUGGCUCAUUAAAUCGGCUGUAGUUUGUUUGGUGGUAUCUUCUGCUCAGAUAACCGUAGUAAUUCUAGAGCUAAUACAUGAAACAAACCCCGACUUCUAGAAGGGAUGCAUUUAUUAGAUAAAAGGUCGACGCGGCCUCUGCCCGUUGCUGCGAUAAUUCAUGAAAACUCGACAGAUCGCAUGGCCCUCGUGUAAGCGGCGCAUCAUUCAAAUUUCUGCCCUAUCAACUUUUGAUGGUAGGAUAGUGGCCUACCAUGGUAGUGACGGGUAACUAAGAAACAACUACCAUAUCCAAGGAAGGUAGCAGGCACACAAAUUACCCAAUCCUGAUACGGGGAAGUAGUGAUAAUAAAUAACAAUACCGGGAUAUUUGAGUAUAUAAUUGGAAUGAGUACAAUCUAAAUCCCUUAACGAGGAUCUAUUGGAGGGCAAGUCUGGUGACAGCAGCCAUGGCAAUUCCAGCUCCAAUAGCGUAUAUUUAAGUUGUAGUUAAAAAGCCCGUAGUUGGACUUUGGGAUGGGUUGGCCAGUCCGCCAAUCGGUGUGCAUCGGUCAUCUCGUCCCUUCUAUUAGCGAUGCACUCCUUGCUUUAAUUGGCCGGGUCGUGCCUCCGACACUAUUACUUUGAAGAAAUUAGAGUGUUUAAAGCAAGCCUAUGCUUUGGAUACAUUAGCAUAGGAUAACAAUAUAGGAUUUCGAUCCUAUUUUGUUCACCUUCUGGAUCGAAGUAAUGAUUAACAAGGAUAGUCUGGGGUAUUCGUAUUUAAUAGUCAGAGGUGAAAUUCUUAGAUCUAUGAAAGACGAACAACUAUGAAUACAUUUGCCAAGAAUGUUUUCAUUGGUCAAGAAAGAAAGUUGGGGGCUUGAGAACGAUCAGAUACCGUCGUAGUCUCAACUAUAAAUGAUGCAGACCAUGGAUCGGCAGAUGUUACUUUAAGAACUCUGUCGGCACCUUAUGAGAAAUCAAAGUUUUUGGGUUCUGGGCGGAGUAUGAUCACAAGGCUGAAACUUAAAGUAAUCGACGGAAGGGCACCAGGAGUGGAGCAUGCAGCUUAAUUUGACUCAACACAGGUAAACUUACCAAGUCCAAACAUAGUAAGGAUUGACAGACUGAGAGCUCUUUCUUUUUUUUUUCUUUUUUUUUAUUCAUAAUGUAAAUAUAUUAUAGAUCAAAAGAGAAUGUAUAUAUACUCUCGAGCAUACCCACAGCUUUCAUAUGUUGACAAAAGAACCAUAAACACAUACUCACAGACACACCUAUGGUCAAUCAAGUAAGUAACAGGAAACAAAAUAUCAAGUCAAAAUAUGGGGAUAUGAGGCAUAAAUGACCUUGUAUACUUGUAUUUUGAUCUUGCUAACAAUAUGAUCCCUAUCCGGACUACCAAGCUCAAAAACUACUUUGUUUCUAUAUUUCCACAAAUAACACAUAGUGGUAGCUAAGCAUAAUUUCCAAGUGCACUUCCAAGAUGACCCUCAGCUUUCCUUCAAUAUCCAUUUGAGGCUUCGGAUGGUAGUUAUGUUCCUUCGAAGUCCCGCCCACUUUUUGAUGAGUUUCCAUACAUCUGCAGUAAAAGGACAAGCAAAAAACAAAUGUGAAAGAUUUUUCUCCUGCUGGUUACAUA
rnacentral:rRNA from 1 species